AGACGUGUUGCAUAGGCGUAGCGAAUCGAGCGAAGCUAGCCAAUCUAGCCGGAAGUGUAAAGAGCGCGCCCCUACAAGCUAGCGAACCUAGACCCCUAGCGUAGCAAAGCUAGCGGCCUUUGGAGGUCCUACGCUUGCUAUUCAAAAUGGCCGACUUUGUUGUCGGUUUCAAGUUUGCAGAUGAGAGUUUCUUUGAUGCUCCCGUUAAAAAGGAGUAUUGGACCGGAUACAAAGUGAAACGAAUGUGGGAAAUCAAUGGACCAAGGGGCAGUACUUUUCCUCAUGGACACUUAUGCUGAACAUAAGGAGCAAUUUGCAAUUCCAACUUGAAAAUAGAGGUAUGGAAGAGGAUUGCUUCGGAAAUGGCAUCCUCAGGAUGCCACUUUGCUCCAGCAGCACUUGAGAAAAAAAUGGAGCAAUAUGAAAAAUAUGGUACAAAGCUAUAUUAGAUUUCAACAAGAAAACGGGCCAGGGAAGAUCACGAUGGAAUUUCUAUUCCAGAAUGGCUGAAAUCUUGGAAGGAGACCCUUUGUUCAUCCCACCACUGACAUCAUCAUCACUGGGGAGUGUAAAAGUAAACACUCUCUCCGAGAUCUCCAAUACCCAGCAAUGUGCCACCCCUACAAAGAAGCAAG